UUAAUACUCCCUCCGUCCAACAAAAGAUGCAUCAAGUUUGUCAAAAUUUGGAUGUAUCUAGACAUGACUUAGUGUAUAGAUGCAUUCAAAUUUAGUCAAAGUUGAGACAUCCUUUGUUGGAUGGAGGAAGCAGUAA
rfam:Brachypodium distachyon strain Bd21 chromosome 1, whole genome shotgun sequence.